UUAAGCGACUAAGCGUACACGGUGGAUGCCCUGGCAGUCAGAGGCGAUGAAGGACGUGCUAAUCUGCGAAAAGCGUCGGUAAGGUGAUAUGAACCGUUAUAACCGGCGAUGUCCGAAUGGGGAAACCCAGUGUGAUUCGUCACACUAUCGUUAACUGAAUACAUAGGUUAACGAGGCGAACCGGGGGAACUGAAACAUCUAAGUACCCCGAGGAAAAGAAAUCAACCGAGAUUCCCCCAGUAGCGGCGAGCGAACGGGGAGCAGCCCAGAGUCUGAAUCAGCUUGUGUGUUAGUGGAACGGUCUGGAAAGUCCGACGGUACAGGGUGAUAGUCCCGUACACCAAAAUGCACAGGCUGUGAACUCGAAGAGUAGGGCGGGACACGUGGUAUCCUGUCUGAAUAUGGGGGGACCAUCCUCCAAGGCUAAAUACUCCUGACUGACCGAUAGUGAACCAGUACCGUGAGGGAAAGGCGAAAAGAACCCCGGCGAGGGGAGUGAAAAAGAACCUGAAACCGUGUACGUACAAGCAGUGGGAGCACCUUCGGGUGUGACUGCGUACCUUUUGUAUAAUGGGUCAGCGACUUAUAUUCUGUAGCAAGGUUAACCGUAUAGGGGAGCCGCAGGGAAACCGAGUCUUAACUGGGCGUUAAGUUGCAGGGUAUAGACCCGAAACCCGGUGAUCUAGCCAUGGGCAGGUUGAAGGUUGGGUAACACUAACUGGAGGACCGAACCGACUAAUGUUGAAAAAUUAGCGGAUGACUUGUGGCUGGGGGUGAAAGGCCAAUCAAACCGGGAGAUAGCUGGUUCUCCCCGAAAGCUAUUUAGGUAGCGCCUCGUGAACUCAUCUUCGGGGGUAGAGCACUGUUUCGGCUAGGGGGUCAUCCCGACUUACCAACCCGAUGCAAACUACGAAUACCGAAGAAUGUUAUCACGGGAGACACACGGCGGGUGCUAACGUCCGUCGUGAAGAGGGAAACAACCCAGACCGCCAGCUAAGGUCCCAAAGUCAUGGUUAAGUGGGAAACGAUGUGGGAAGGCACAGACAGCCAGGAUGUUGGCUUAGAAGCAGCCAUCAUUUAAAGAAAGCGUAAUAGCUCACUGGUCGAGUCGGCCUGCGCGGAAGAUGUAACGGGGCUAAACCAUGCACCGAAGCUGCGGCAGCGACACUAUGUGUUGUUGGGUAGGGGAGCGUUCUGUAAGCCUGCGAAGGUGACCUGUGAGGGUUGCUGGAGGUAUCAGAAGUGCGAAUGCUGACAUAAGUAACGAUAAAGCGGGUGAAAAGCCCGCUCGCCGGAAGACCAAGGGUUCCUGUCCAACGUUAAUCGGGGCAGGGUGAGUCGACCCCUAAGGCGAGGCCGAAAGGCGUAGUCGAUGGGAAACAGGUUAAUAUUCCUGUACUUGGUGUUACUGCGAAGGGGGGACGGAGAAGGCUAUGUUAGCCGGGCGACGGUUGUCCCGGUUUAAGCAUGUAGGCUGGUUAUCCAGGCAAAUCCGGAUAAUCAAGGCUGAGGUGUGAUGACGAGGCACUACGGUGCUGAAGUAACAAAUGCCCUGCUUCCAGGAAAAGCCUCUAAGCAUCAGGUAACAUCAAAUCGUACCCCAAACCGACACAGGUGGUCAGGUAGAGAAUACCAAGGCGCUUGAGAGAACUCGGGUGAAGGAACUAGGCAAAAUGGUGCCGUAACUUCGGGAGAAGGCACGCUGGUGUGUAGGUGAAGCCCCUGCGGGUGGAGCUGAGACCAGUCGAAGAUACCAGCUGGCUGCAACUGUUUAUUAAAAACACAGCACUGUGCAAACACGAAAGUGGACGUAUACGGUGUGACGCCUGCCCGGUGCCGGAAGGUUAAUUGAUGGGGUUAUCCGUAAGGAGAAGCUCUUGAUCGAAGCCCCGGUAAACGGCGGCCGUAACUAUAACGGUCCUAAGGUAGCGAAAUUCCUUGUCGGGUAAGUUCCGACCUGCACGAAUGGCGUAAUGAUGGCCAGGCUGUCUCCACCCGAGACUCAGUGAAAUUGAACUCGCUGUGAAGAUGCAGUGUACCCGCGGCAAGACGGAAAGACCCCGUGAACCUUUACUAUAGCUUGACACUGAACAUUGAGCCUUGAUGUGUAGGAUAGGUGGGAGGCUUUGAAGCGUGGACGCCAGUCUGCGUGGAGCCAACCUUGAAAUACCACCCUUUAAUGUUUGAUGUUCUAACGUUGGCCCUUACCGGGGUUGCGGACAGUGUCUGGUGGGUAGUUUGACUGGGGCGGUCUCCUCCCAAAGCGUAACGGAGGAGCACGAAGGUUAGCUAAUCUGGUCGGACAUCAGGAGGUUAGUGCAAUGGCAUAAGCUAGCUUGACUGCGAGCGUGACGGCGCGAGCAGGUGCGAAAGCAGGUCAUAGUGAUCCGGUGGUUCUGAAUGGAAGGGCCAUCGCUCAACGGAUAAAAGGUACUCCGGGGAUAACAGGCUGAUACCGCCCAAGAGUUCAUAUCGACGGCGGUGUUUGGCACCUCGAUGUCGGCUCAUCACAUCCUGGGGCUGAAGUAGGUCCCAAGGGUAUGGCUGUUCGCCAUUUAAAGUGGUACGCGAGCUGGGUUUAGAACGUCGUGAGACAGUUCGGUCCCUAUCUGCCGUGGGCGCUGGAGAAUUGAGGGGGGCUGCUCCUAGUACGAGAGGACCGGAGUGGACGCAUCACUGGUGUUCGGGUUGUCAUGCCAAUGGCACUGCCCGGUAGCUAAAUGCGGAAGAGAUAAGUGCUGAAAGCAUCUAAGCACGAAACUUGCCCCGAGAUGAGUUCUCCCUGAGACUUUAAGUCUCCUGAAGGAACGUUGAAGACGACGACGUUGAUAGGCCGGGUGUGUAAGCGCAGCGAUGCGUUGAGCUAACCGGUACUAAUGAACCGUGAGGCUUAACCU
rnacentral:rRNA from 1 species